rnacentral:rRNA from 1 species
CAUUAAAGAAUCGCCCCGUUUUUUGAAAUGGGUUCUAUUCCCAAACCGUGUAUACAUUCCUUUGUUGCUUUGGCAGGCCGCCUUUUAGGCGUUGGCUCCGGCUGACUGCGCCUGCCAGAGGACCCAAACUCUUUUGUUUAGUGAUGUCUGAGUACUAUAUAAUAGUUAAAACUUUCAACAACGGAUCUCUUGGUUCUGGCAUCGAUGAAGAACGCAGCGAAAUGCGAUAAGUAAUGUGAAUUGCAGAAUUCAGUGAAUCAUCGAAUCUUUGAACGCACAUUGCGCCCCUUGGUAUUCCGAGGGGCAUGCCUGUUCGAGCGUCAUUAUAACCACUCAAGCCCUCGGCUUGGUCUUGGGGUUCGCGGUUUCGCGGCCCUUAAAAUCAGUGGCGGUGCCGUCUGGCUCUAAGCGUAGUAAUCCUCUCGCUAUAGGGUCCAGGUAACCACCUGUCAGAACCCCCCAUUCUUUAUGGUUG